rnacentral:rRNA from 1 species
UACGUAGGGUGCGAGCGUUAAUCGGAAUUACUGGGCGUAAAGCGUGCGCAGGCGGUUUUGUAAGCCAGAUGUGAAAUCCCCGGGCUUAACCUGGGAAUGGCAUUUGGGACUGCAAGGCUUGAGUGCGGCAGAGGAGACUGGAAUUCCUGGUGUAGCAGUGAAAUGCGUAGAUAUCAGGAGGAAUACCGAUGGCGAAGGCGGCGACCUGGGUAGAUACUGACGCUGAGGCGCGAAAGCGUGGGGAGCAAACAGG